AACCGCGUGAGCUUCUUAUGGCGCGAGUUACCAAGCGACAUUCCGGCGCUAGGCAUGCUGGGACUUGUAGUUUGCGUAGAAAAAAAAAGCGCUAGAACUACAGCAGUUCCCGAGGUCGUGAGUCACUGUUUCAGCUUCAGUCAGGAGGUUCGGUUUCUUAUGCUGCCUGUUGCCUCGGCGGUUCAGAAAGCGCUGGGUUGCUGGUCGAGUGAGUCUGGGUUCAUUCCUCCGGAGUUAGUCUGUAGCUCUCAGCUAUGGCUCCAGUGCUGCCUGCAUGCCAUCAUGCUUCCCACCAAGAUGAUGAUGGAAUAAACCUUUGCGAUUCUCCGGCUGAGGCUGCCUCCUGUACAGUGCGGAAACGGUUCAUGAGUUGGAAAGUGGUCGGAGCUCUGCGCUGGUGAAAGAGACUGCUUGGACUUUCAAGAGCCGUUGGACUCCAACAUAGUGAGUUUCCCUCCAACUUUG